rnacentral:rRNA from 1 species
CCUACGGGGGGCAGCAGUGAGGAAUCUUGCGCAAUGGGCGAAAGCCUGACGCAGCGACGCCGCGUGGAGGAUGAAGGCCUUCGGGUCGUAAACUCCUGUCGAGCGGGACGAAUGCCGGCGGGGUAAACAACCUCGCCGGUUGACGGUACCGCUGGAGGAAGCCCCGGCUAACUCAGUGCCAGCAGCCGCGGUAAUACGGAGGGGGCCAGCGUUGUUCGGAAUUAUUGGGCGUAAAGGGCGCGUAGGCUGCUGCUCAAGUCGGACGUGAAAUCCCUCGGCU